GAAAUGCGAUAAGUAAUGUGAAUUGCAGAAUUCAGUGAAUCAUCGAAUCUUUGAACGCACAUUGCGCCCGCCAGUAUUCUAGCGGGCAUGCCUGUUCGAGCGUCAUUUCAACCAUCAAGCCCCCGGCUUGUGUUGGGGACCUGCGGCUGCCCGCAGGCCCUGAAAAACAGUGGCGGGCUCGCUGUCACACCGAGCGUAGUAGCAUACAUUCUCGCUCAGGGCGUGCUGCGGGUUCCGGCCGUUAAACGACCUUCAUAACCCAAGGUUGACCUCGGAUCGGGUAGGAAGACCCGCUGAACUUAAGC
rnacentral:misc_RNA from 1 species